UGGGCCACCUCCCAUCCGUGUCUAUUGUACCCUGUUGCUUCGGCGGGCCCGCCGCUUGUCGGCCGCCGGGGGGGCGCCUCUGCCCCCCGGGCCCGUGCCCGCCGGAGACCCCAACACGAACACUGUCUGAAAGCGUGCAGUCUGAGUUGAUUGAAUGCAAUCAGUUAAAACUUUCAACAAUGGAUCUCUUGGUUCCGGCAUCGAUGAAGAACGCAGCGAAAUGCGAUAACUAAUGUGAAUUGCAGAAUUCAGUGAAUCAUCGAGUCUUUGAACGCACAUUGCGCCCCCUGGUAUUCCGGGGGGCAUGCCUGUCCGAGCGUCAUUGCUGCCCUCAAGCCCGGCUUGUGUGUUGGGUCGCCGUCCCCCUCUCCGGGGGGACGGGCCCGAAAGGCAGCGGCGGCACCGCGUCCGAUCCUCGAGCGUAUGGGGCUUUGUCACAUGCUCUGUAGGAUUGGCCGGCGCCUGCCGACGUUUUCCAACCAUUCUUUCCAGGUUGACCUCGGAUCAGGUAGGGAUACCCGCUGAACUUAAGCAUAUCAAUAAGCCGGAGGAAAU
rnacentral:rRNA from 1 species